rnacentral:rRNA from 1 species
GACGAACGCUGGCGGCGCGCCUAACACAUGCAAGUCGAACGAGAGAUGAGGAGCUUGCUCUUCAAAUCGAGUGGCGAACGGGUGAGUAACGCGUGAGGAACCUGCCUCAAAGAGGGGGACAACAGUUGGAAACGACUGCUAAUACCGCAUAAGCCCACAGCUCGGCAUCGAGCAGAGGGAAAAGGAGCAAUCCGCUUUGAGAUGGCCUCGCGUCCGAUUAGCUAGUUGGUGAGGUAACGGCCCACCAAGGCGACGAUCGGUAGCCGGACUGAGAGGUUGAACGGCCACAUUGGGACUGAGACACGGCCCAGACUCCUACGGGAGGCAGCAGUGGGGAAUAUUACACAAUGGGGGAAACCCUGAUGCAGCGACGCCGCGUGGAGGAAGAAGGUCUUCGGAUUGUAAACUCCUGUUGUUGAGGAAGAUAAUGACGGUACUCAACAAGGAAGUGACGGCUAACUACGUGCCAGCAGCCGCGGUAAAACGUAGGUCACAAGCGUUGUCCGGAAUUACUGGGUGUAAAGGGAGCGCAGGCGGGAGAACAAGUUGGAAGUGAAAUCCAUGGGCUCAACCCAUGAACUGCUUUCAAAACUGUUUUUCUUGAGUAGUGCAGAGGUAGGCGGAAUUCCCGGUGUAGCGGUGGAAUGCGUAGAUAUCGGGAGGAAGACCAGUGGCGAAGGCGGCCUACUGGGCACCAACUGACGCUGAGGCUCGAAAGUGUGGGUAGCAAACAGGAUUAGAUACCCUGGUAGUCCACACCGUAAACGAUGAUUACUAGGUGUUGGAGGAUUGACCCCUUCAGUGCCGCAGUUAACACAAUAAGUAAUCCACCUGGGGAGUACGACCGCAAGGUUGAAACUCAAAGGAAUUGACGGGGGCCCGCACAAGCAGUGGAGUAUGUGGUUUAAUUCGACGCAACGCGAAGAACCUUACCAAGUCUUGACAUCCUGCGACGCACAUAGAAAUAUGUGUUUCCUUCGGGACGCAGAGACAGGUGGUGCAUGGUUGUCGUCAGCUCGUGUCGUGAGAUGUUGGGUUAAGUCCCGCAACGAGCGCAACCCUUAUGGUCAGUUACUACGCAAGAGGACUCUGGCCAGACUGCCGUUGACAAAACGGAGGAAGGUGGGGAUGACGUCAAAUCAUCAUGCCCUUUAUGACUUGGGCUACACACGUACUACAAUGGCGUUAAACAAAGAGAAGCAAGACCGCGAGGUGGAGCAAAACUCAGAAACAACGUCCCAGUUCGGACUGCAGGCUGCAACUCGCCUGCACGAAGUCGGAAUUGCUAGUAAUCGUGGAUCAGCAUGCCACGGUGAAUACGUUCCCGGGCCU